ACGAACAGUUGGAAACGAACUGCUAAUAACCGCAUACGAUCUAAUCUCGGCAUCGAGGAUAGAUGAAAGGUGGCCUCUACAUGUAAGCUAUCACUGAAGGAGGGGAUUGCGUCUGAUUAGCUAGUUGGAGGGGUAACGGCCCACCAAGGCGAUGAUCAGUAGCCGGUCUGAGAGGAUGAACGGCCACAUUGGGACUGAGACACGGCCCAGACUCCUACGGGAGGCAGCAUG
rnacentral:rRNA from 1 species